rnacentral:rRNA from 1 species
GACGAACGCUGGCGGCGUGCCUAAUACAUGCAAGUAGAACGCUGAAGCGAGGAGCUUGCUCUUCUUGGAUGAGUUGCGAACGGGUGAGUAACGCGUAGGUAACCUGCCUUGUAGCGGGGGAUAACUAUUGGAAACGAUAGCUAAUACCGCAUAACAAUGGAUGACACAUGUCAUUUAUUUGAAAGGGGCAAUUGCUCCACUACAAGAUGGACCUGCGUUGUAUUAGCUAGUAGGUGAGGUAGUGGCUCACCUAGGCGACGAUACAUAGCCGACCUGAGAGGGUGAUCGGCCACACUGGGACUGAGACACGGCCCAGACUCCUACGGGAGGCAGCAGUAGGGAAUCUUCGGCAAUGGGGGCAACCCUGACCGAGCAACGCCGCGUGAGUGAAGAAGGGUUUCGGAUCGUAAAGCUCUGUUGUAAGUCAAGAACGGGUGUGAGAGUGGAAAGUUCACACUGUGACGGUAGCUUACCAGAAAGGGACGGCUAACUACGUG